rnacentral:lncRNA from 1 species
CUCAUUUUCUCUUGCUGCCGCCAUGAUUCUGAGGCCUCCCCAGCCAUGUGGAACUCUUGUGUUGUGUUUUUAAUGGGAGAGUUGGUCAGCGUCUGCUGGAACAGAGCUACGCCUAUGGAACCGUAGACUUGUUCGUGCUUUAUUGCAAUACUUUAAAGACACAAAGUCUCAACAACCAUCUUCCGCUUGACGAGACAGAUCAUUCUAAUUUGAGCAGAAGCUACUAUGUCCUGCCCUUUGAACGCGGCGGCCCGGACAGCUGACAAGGACACACUGUGUAUUUCCAUUCCAAUUCUGGGAGUGCUCUGAGGCCUCUGGGGGAGAAGGACCCAUGAAAUAUUCAAAACAUAAGUGAAUAAAAUAUCUAGGUGC